rnacentral:rRNA from 1 species
UACGGGGGGGGCAAGCGUUGUUCGGAAUUACUGGGCGUAAAGGGCUCGUAGGCGGCCAACUAAGUCGGAUGUGAAAUCCCCAAGCUUAACUUGGGAACUGCAUCCGAUACUGGAUGGCUUGAAUCCGGGAGAGGGAUGCGGAAUUCCAGGUGUAGCGGUGAAAUGCGUAGAUAUCUGGAGGAACACCGGUGGCGAAGGCGGCAUCCUGGACCGGCAUUGACGCUGAGGCGCGAAAGCCAGGGGAGCAAACGGG